rnacentral:rRNA from 1 species
UGGGGAAUCUUGGACAAUGGGGGCAACCCUGAUCCAGCGAUGCCGCGUGGGUGAAGAAGGCCUUCGGGUUGUAAAGCCCUUUAGGCUGGGACGAAGGGUGUGGGACGAAUAAUCCUGCACUUUGACGGUACCAGCAGAAUAAGCACCGGCAAACUCUGUGCCAGCAGCCGCGGUAAUACAGAGGGUGCGAGCGUUAAUCGGAUUUACUGGGCGUAAAGGGCGCGUAGGCGGUGAUGUGAGUGUGAUGUGAAUGCCCCGGGCUUAACCUGGGAAGUGCAUCGCAAACGACAUGACUGGAGUAGAUGAGAGGGUGGCGGAAUUUCCGGUGUAGCGGUGAAAUGCGUAGAGAUCGGAAGGAACGUCAAUGGCGAAGGCAGCCACCUGGCAUCAUACUGACGCUGAGGCGCGAAAGCGUGGGGAGCGAA